rnacentral:rRNA from 1 species
CCGGGCGACCUACCCAUGAGCAGGAUGAAGCGAAAGUAAAAUUUCGUGGAGGUCCGAACCCACGAGCGUUGAAAAGCUCGGGGAUGACUUGUGGGUAGCGGGGAAAUUCCAAUCGAGCCCGGAGAUAGCUGGUUCUCCCCGAAAUAGCUUUAGGGCUAGCCUCAAGGUGAGAGAUACGGAGGUAGAGCACUGAAUGUCCUAGGGGG